UUCCCUUUAUUGACCUCCAGGUGGUGUCCUCUUGUAAGAGAGCCUAGCACCUGUUACACAUUAACUCGCUGUCCGCCCUUCGGCCCCUGCCUGGUAGCCACCCAGGCCUCCUGCCUUUGGAAACCGGGUUCUCAGCCCGCCUGACACAUUACGACUCCUAGGGUCUCUGCCUCAUGGCGCUGCUUUGUUCCCACAGCUAAGCGCCCUCACGGGUACGUGAUCGCCAUGUGUGAACACACUGACCAGAGCCCGAGACGCGGCACCACUGUCCACCAUGCUGACAGCCUGAGAACGGCCUGAUCCCUGGGCUUCAGGAGCUGGACUCAGCAAUCCUUUUCUGAUCCACACAGCAGGGAAGACACUGGAAUGGCCUCAGAAUGGUGACAUGAAAUCUUGAGUGUCAUGAAGUCCCUCAGACAGAGACCAAGGAUUCCAGCAGGACCCUGUGGCCCCAAGGGUAUUCUUCCCAGAGUAUUCCAUUGUUUGAACCCUAGGACAGCCCCAAGGUCCUCUGUUGUCACAAUGGAAGCUUCCACCAUGCCCAGUCACCUCAGAACCCCCUGCCUCAUAAACAGCUGUUGCCUUUUGAAAAAGAAUAA